rnacentral:rRNA from 1 species
UACGGGGGGGGCAAGCGUUGUUCGGAAUUACUGGGCGUAAAGGGCUCGUAGGCGGCCAACUAAGUCAGACGUGAAAUCCCUCGGCUUAACCGGGGAACUGCAUCUGAUACUGGAUGGCUUGAGUUCGGGAGAGGGAUGCGGAAUUCCAGGUGUAGCGGUGAAAUGCGUAGAUAUCUGGAGGAACACCGGUGGCGAAGGCGGCAUCCUGGGACCAAUUCUGACGCUGAGGAGCGAAA